rnacentral:tRNA from 1 species
GGAGAGGUGGCAGAGCGGUUGAAUGCACCGGUCUUGAAAACCGGCGUCGGGUAACCCCCGACCGUGGGUUCGAAUCCCACCCUCUCCGCCA